UUUGAUCUUGAGGUUAAGUUUCGAUGUAAGAUCUUACUUAUUUAUUCUAUUUAACUGUACUGAUUCGUCUUCAAAUAAUAGAAAUUUUUUGUCUAAAAUUCAAGUCUCCAAAGUGACGUAAAUUUUCGUUGACUUCAUAUAUCAAAAUUCUUAGUUAAUAAAAAAACGUAUUGACGGACAAUGUCUCAAGUACCUGUGGGAAAUAAUGUAACACUGGCCGAUGGCGUUGGCGAUGGAAUUGGAAGUUCAGAAAAUAGCAUCGUAGUAAUCUUCCAAGCGCUGGCAACUACGAAUCUCAUUGUUUUCGUUAUAGGUUCUCUUUUUGUUUUCUCUAAUUUCUUUUGGGAACGGAUGAAACCACUGAUAUUUGAAAGAAAUGAAUACCAAUAUGAGCAUGACUAUCCUAUUCAAGAAUCUUGGUUAAGCUGGGUGUGGCGCAUGAUAGCAUAUGCUAUCGAAUUAUAAAUACUACACUCCCAAGAUGAAGAGGGUACUUAGAUGGAAGGUAUACUGAAGUGAUUGGCUGCGUGUUUAGAAAAUGGGUUACAGUUUGUUAUUAUUGUGCAAAUAUUGCAAAUAAAUGAUAAAUUGUUUGUGGUUGUAGUCAUGAAGAUUAAAAAAACUUGUGUAAUUUUAUUAAAUGGU